AUUGAACGCUGGCGGCAUGCUAUACACAUGCAAGUCGAACGGCAGCGCGGGCUUCGGCCUGGCGGCGAGUGGCGAACGGGUGAGUAAUGCAUCGGAACGUGCCCAGUAGUGGGGGAUAGCCCGGCGAAAGCCGGAUUAAUACCGCAUACGACCUGAGGGUGAAAGCGGGGGACCGAAAGGCCUCGCGCUAUUGGAGCGGCCGAUGUCGGAUUAGCUAGUUGGUGGGGUAAAGGCUUACCAAGGCGACGAUCCGUAGCUGGUCUGAGAGGACGACCGGCCACACUGGGACUGAGACACGGCCCAGACUCCUACGGGAGGCAGCAGUGGGGAAUUUUGGACAAUGGGGGCAACCCUGAUCCAGCCAUGCCGCGUGCGGGAAGAAGGCCUUCGGGUUGUAAACCGCUUUUGUUCGGGAAGAAAUCCUCUGGGCUAAUACCCCGGGGGGAUGACGGUACCGGAAGAAUAAGCACCGGCUAACUACGUG
rnacentral:rRNA from 1 species